rnacentral:lncRNA from 1 species
AAAAACUACUUUUCUAUUUAUAAACCACUACACAAGUAGUGUGUAUUUCUUUUGUUAUAUAUAUAAACACAACUCCGCAUAUAUGAAUUAUCUACCAAAUACUCACGAAAGGUUUUUAAGAAAAUAUUAGUUAGUAAAGCCAUCCAAGAGGGAAUAUGCUACUAAUGUGAAAUGAGCAAAAUUACGUAGUAAAUAUGUCUUCAUGAGACUGUUGUAUUUAUUUCUUCAAGAACCAGAAGAACUAUUAGUGAAGGCACAAUAGUUUAUUGUCUCGACCCUCUGUAUCCCCAUACCUCACCAUGCAAUGAAUAGAGUACAUCAAGCAGGGGUUUAUCCCUCCCCAUAAAUAUAUCGUACUGGUCUUUGCCUUAUACAAAUUUCCCGAAACACAACUUUGGAAUUUUAAUAUUUGGAACUCCUAAGCUACCUGAAAUAACAACAAGUUACCAUGACUAAAGUGCAUACAUACAUAUAUGAAAGUUUCUCAAGCAAUGAUAAUAUAAUUAAUUGCUAAAUAUCUUUAUUGAUUUUAUGGAGAGACAAUCAGACAAAGUCAUGUCAAAUUAAUGAUGGGACAAAAAGGUUUUCUGGACUUUUAAAGUUAUGAAUGCAUCUAUCAGGCUCAAGCAUUUCCAACAUCUAAUUUAUGGCUUACAUCUCAAAGCAAAAAAUGCAAAUUAUCAGGCUUAAAGAUCAUAAUAUACACAACAAAUGUAGUGGCCCUGCAAGGUCUGCAUCAUGUCAUGCAUGCAUAGAUACAUUACAUUACUACAAGUAUAUUUACAGCUUUAUCGGUCUAUAACACGGUUGCAUAAUCAAAAAUUAUCAAACAUGUCGGAGAGUGCAUGUCCGAAUCGAAGUACAAAGGCAAAAAUAUACAAGUUUCUUCUCACUGCAGUAUAGUAUAAACAAACUUCUAUUGCCUGCAAAGGAUGGAAGAUGCUAACUCAAGCCUUACAACAGCGCAUACAUCACAAGGUGCAUGCGAGCCAAUGGCGCCUCAAGAGACAUGAAACUUUACACAGUUAGAAUCUUCACAUUUACCCCAAAAGUACAAACUUCAAACAACAGAAAAAGGUAGACGAACUAGCUUUUUAUAGUGUCAAACAUGUUGCAAUGCAACAAAAUAUUCAGAUUGAUCUUCUCCGGUAAAACAAAAGGUUAACAUUUAGAGUUUAAAACAAACGAAAAAUGAAAAAACAAUUGGAAACAGACUAUUAAACAAAUGAAAAAAUGAAAAAUAAUUUUUGAUAUAUAUAUGCUAAAUAAAAACCCAAAAUGGCAAUCGGUCUUGAAUCUCAAUCUCUUAACAAUUCAAGAAACAAAUUCCAAUUCCAAAAAAUCCCAGUCUCUUAACAAAAACAAAAAAAAGGCUAAUUCAAGAACUAAGCUUGAAAAAUAACCAAAACCACCAAUUAAAAUCUUGGUCAGCUUACCCUGAAAAAUCACAUAGAAAGAGAAAAAGAAAAACUCACAUGUGGCCAUGGAGAAAGCAACGAAUUUACAGAGUAGCCAAAAUACAAUAACUUUGAAGAACAAAAAUAAUCAGGGAAAUAGACAAAGAGAAAAGCAACAAGUUAAACCCCAUGAAGGAAAUUUCAACUGCUCAUUUACAAAGUAAUCAACAUAAAAGAUAGUGAUAUACCUUGAUAGGAUUGGAAAGCUAGAUUUUUGGGUUUCUUCUAAAUGCAGACUUGGUAAGGACGACGAGAUGACGAGACUCAGAUUCGAAGGUGAGGCCAACGAAUAGAGAUGAUGAGGAGAGGCGGAGGCUGAUGGACAGAGAGGAAGGAGAACGACUGCUGUGAUGAGAGGGGAGGAAAAUGGAAAAUGUCUUACAGAAAUAAAAUCAGUAAGACCUUUUCCGUAAAAAGCCAUUUCAUUUAUCCG